GGGGCUGUGGCUCAGUGGUAGAGCGCUUGCCUUGCAUGUGAGACACUGGGUUCAAUCCUCAGCAACACAU
rfam:Ictidomys tridecemlineatus contig030911, whole genome shotgun sequence.